rnacentral:rRNA from 1 species
UACGGAGGAUGCGAGCGUUAUCCGGAUUUAUUGGGUUUAAAGGGUGCGUAGGCGGGCUUUUAAGUCAGCGGUAAAAAUUCGGGGCUCAACCCCGUCCGGCCGUUGAAACUGGGGGUCUUGAGUGGGCGAGAAGAAGGCGGAAUGCGUGGUGUAGCGGUGAAAUGCAUAGAUAUCACGCAGAACCCCGAUUGCGAAGGCAGCCUUCCGGCGCCCUACUGAAGCUGAGGCACGAAAGUGCGGGGAUCAAACAGG